UCACUGAUAUAUAGAAUUGCCUUUGAUUUAUGGGGGAUAUAAAAUCAACACCCAUAAAUCAAAGGCAUUUCUGUAUAUCAGUGA
rnacentral:miRNA from 1 species